CAUGCAAGUCGAACGAACUUCCGUUAAUUGAUUAUGACGUACUUGUACUGAUUGAGAUUUUAACACGAAGUGAGUGGCGAACGGGUGAGUAACACGUGGGUAACCUGCCCAGAAGUAGGGGAUAACACCUGGAAACAGAUGCUAAUACCGUAUAACAGAGAAAACCGCAUGGUUUUCUUUUAAAAGAUGGCUCUGCUAUCACUUCUGGAUGGACCCGCGGCGUAUUAGCUAGUUGGUGAGGUAAAGGCUCACCAAGGCAGUGAUACGUAGCCGACCUGAGAGGGUAAUCGGCCACAUUGGGACUGAGACACGGCCCAGACUCCUACGGGAGGCAGCAGUAGGGAAUCUUCCACAAUGGACGCAAGUCUGAUGGAGCAACGCCGCGUGAGUGAAGAAGGGUUUCGGCUCGUAAAGCUCUGUUGUUAAAGAAGAACGUGGGUAAGAGUAACUGUUUACCCAGUGACGGUAUUUAACCAGAAAGCCACGGCUAACUACGUGCCAGCAGCCGCGGUAAUACGUAGGUGGCAAGCGUUAUCCGGAUUUAUUGGGCGUAAAGCGAGCGCAGGCGGUCUUUUAAGUCUAAUGUGAAAGCCUUCGGCUCAACCGAAGAAGUGCAUUGGAAACUGGGAGACUUGAGUGCAGAAGAGGACAGUGGAACUCCAUGUGUAGCGGUGAAAUGCGUAGAUAUAUGGAAGAACACCAGUGGCGAAGGCGGCUGUCUGGUCUGCAACUGACGCUGAGGCUCGAAAGCAUGGGUAGCGAACAGGAUUAGAUACCCUGGUAGUCCAUGCCGUAAACGAUGAUUACUAAGUGUUGGAGGGUUUCCGCCCUUCAGUGCUGCAGCUAACGCAUUAAGUAAUCCGCCU
rnacentral:rRNA from 1 species